rnacentral:rRNA from 1 species
UGGGGAAUUUUCCGCAAUGGGCGAAAGCCUGACGGAGCGAAUGCCGCGUGGAGGUGGAAGGCCUACGGGUCGUCAACUUCUUUUCUCGGAGAAGAAACAAUGACGGUAUCUGAGGAAUAAGCAUCGGCUAACUCUGUGCCAG